CACGUAGGGCGCAAGCGUUGUCCGGAAUUAUUGGGCGUAAAGAGCUCGUAGGCGGCUUGUCACGUCGGGUGUGAAAGCCCGGGGCUUAACCCCGGGUCUGCAUUCGAUACGGGCAGGCUGGAGUUCGGUAGGGGAGAUCGGAAUUCCUGGUGUAGCGGUGAAAUGCGCAGAUAUCAGGAGGAACACCGGUGGCGAAGGCGGAUCUCUGGGCCGAUACUGACGCUGAGGAGCGAAAGCGUGGGGAGCGAACAGG
rnacentral:rRNA from 1 species